rnacentral:rRNA from 1 species
UGGGGAAUCUUCCGCAAUGGGCGAAAGCCUGACGGAGCAACGCCGCGUGAGUGAUGACGGCCUUCGGGUUGUAAAGCUCUGUGAUCGGGGACGAACGGUCAGCAGACGAAUACUCUGCUGAAGUGACGGUACCCGAAUAGCAAGCCACGGCUAACUACGUGCCAGCAGCCGCGGUAAUACGUAGGAUGCGAGCGUUAUCCGGAUUUAUUGGGUUUAAAGGGUGCGCAGGCGGCGCGCCAAGUCAGCGGUCAAAGUUCCGGGCUCAACCCGGUGUCGCCGUUGAAACUGGCGUGCUCGAGUGCGUGCGAGGAAGGCGGAAUGCGUUGUGUAGCGGUGAAAUGCAUAGAUAUGACGCAGAACUCCGAUUGCGAAGCAGCUUUCCAGCGCGCUACUGACGCUGAGGCACGAAAGCGUGGGGAUCGAACAGGAUUAGAUACCCUGG